UUCAAACCGCGCAGUAUGGCAUGCUGGGAUACCUUUUCCCAUCAUGGCGGAUCAGUUAGUUGGCUAAUGGUAACGGUUAGCAUAUUCAACAAUUGUUUGGUUACGCACAAAAUAGUACUGUAGCCAUCUGGUAUAUCUACACGGGAAUUACCGCUGCCGUACUUAAACUGGUGUUAAGUCAGGGGGAAAGCACACUAGUUGAAUUAAGAGGAUCUUUGGCACAAUCUGAUCACGACACAAUGGAAUGUGCAGUGGACAUUCCCUCAGGGGAAGAAGCACUGGAGAAAGAUGACAUGAAUGCUAAGGAAGGGAAUGAGCCACCGCAGAAGAAAAACAAGAAGCACAGAAAACACAAGAGCAAAAAGAAGAAGAGGAGGAGGAAGGGUGAGAAAGAGAGCACUUCGGAUUCUGGUGCUGAGUCUGAUGUAGAACCGCCACCUCCACCAGGACCCGUCAGGACCACCAGAGCCAGUGCCAGACUGGCAGCAGCUGCAGGAGCUAGAGACUAUACUGGGGGGAAGGAAGAGAGCAAAAGGGAUGCACAUACAGAGCGUGGGGACAUGGAGGGAGACACAAAAUCUAAGAAACACAAAAGACAUACGGCCAAGAAGAAGAAGAAGAAAAAGAAGAAAGAUGAAAAGCAAGGAAAAAAAUCCCCGUCCCGAUCCCCCUCUGAGAGCAGCUCAGCUUCAGGUUCUGAGUCUGAAGGGGAAGGAGGUGGUAAAUACACUCCUGCUGCCUCCUCUGACCUCCAAGAACUAGUAUCCAGACUGAGUUCAAAAAGCAAACGAGGAGAGGAGAAGUUAGCUUUCAUCCACUCACAGAAACCUGAAUUGCUUGGAGUAAAGACAGAGGAGAUAGCAGAUAUGGAUAUGUCCUUAACUAGAGGGCUUGAUAAAAACACAAUUGAAGCAGAAAAGGAGGUUAGAUCACCCUCUGCAGGUCAGGAUGAGGUAACACAGACAGUAACUGUUAAGACAGAAGACAGUCAUGGACAUGUUGCAUUCAGCCAUGCCCAGGAAUUACCUGAUAUUAUCCCAAAACAGGAAGGUACAACCCCAAGAGAAGAUCAAUGCUUAAAAGAUCAGACCGGUCCAGUUCUGAGGGCAAAAGUUGAGAAUGAUUUAUCCAGGACUGCUUCCCCUUCCAGGGGCAUAGACAUUAGAAGGUCUGAGCCAGGUCCGAGCCGAUCACCAUCCCCUACUCUCAGCAGGCAGCAGGCGGCUGGUCAAAGAACAGCAUCACCAUCAUUCAUGAAAGAAAAGUCGAGAACCCACUCCAGGUCAACCUCAAAAGAAAAACAAACAUCAACUCCUGUAAAGAGCUGUCAGCUGUCUUGCUCACAGUCCCCAAAAUCUCAGAGAAAGUCACUCUCUCCGUCCUACAAGCCUCCGAAGAUAGAUAGUCGCCGGUCCCGAUCUACCUCUCGCUCUCUCACUCCCAAGAAGAAGGUGUCAAAAUCCCCAAGAAAGUCUACGUCUCCUAAGUGGUCCUUUUCUGUGUCCCCAAAGCAACGGCAAGGUUCCCCCUCUCCCAAAAGAAAGGUGUCACGAUCCCCUAAACGUGGUGGUCGCAGGUCCCGUUCUUUGUCCCGGUCUCCAAGGAGAAGUCGACGGUCAAAGUCACGUUCCCGCGGUGGCACAAGGUGUUCCCGAACCCGCUCACCUAGACGAAGUGGUGGUGUUGGGAAGCGUUCACAGUCACGCUCUUUGACUAGAUCCCGGCGCUCCCGUUCUAGAUCUAGACGCCCUGUCCGUCGCUCAAGAUCACGGUCACUGGCAAGGCGAGCAGGAGGCAGGCGUUCUAGGAGUCGCUCCUUGUCUCGACGCAGACGGUCACCACCCCCUAGGUCUCGCCGUUCACGCUCCCGCUCAGUCCGCAGGAGCAAACGGUCACGGUCCAUUGUAGUGCUUAAGCGCAACCGUCGCUCGAGAUCCAGGAGUCCCCGCAAACGGACCAAAUCCAGAACACCUCCCUCUCGACGCCGGUCCAAGUCACGGUCACCAGUCAGAAGACGGUCUCGCUCACCUGCUAGGAGAAACCGAUCUCCACCAAGGUCUGGAAAACGUUCCAAGUCCCACUCAUUGUCUCGAAGGAACCGUUCAAGGUCACGCUCUCCACAGCCUGGCAAGAGAAGGUCCAAAUCUCCUAAGAAGGGUGGAAGAAGGUCAAAGUCUAAAUCUGUCUCUGCAGAUGUGAAGAGAUCUAAGUCGAGGUCCAGGUCUGAAUCAAGUGAUGGCCAUUCUGACAGCGUAUCCCCAGCCAGAUCCGUAUCUUCCACCCCAGUUAAAGAAAAGAAGUCUUCCUCUCCAGAGGCAGAGCAGACAGUUGUUAGGAAAGCAGCUGGAGAAAAUGGAGGGCUUUUAGCAGGUGCUUGGAAACCCGUAGUCUCUGCAACUGCCUCCAGCUCCCAGGCUGUGAGCUCUGCAGAUAAGUUGCAGGAUCAGGAUCCUCCAAUUUAUGAUAGGGAGCAGGGGGAGAAUAUUAGUUCAUCCAAUGAAAAGUCCAGGUCUAGGUCUGUUUCCCAGGAGCCUGCUAAAGGCCCAGAUGGAUCAGAUGGUUCAGAAGGACCAGACAAAGAGGAGGAAUCUCCCCUUAAAACAUUGACUAAAAGCCAGAGAAGCUCCUCUGAUUCAGCAUCUCCAGAAAUACAGAAGAAGCAGCUGUCCAAAUCACGCUCACCUACAGAUCGCAGGAAACUUUCUCGUUCAACUUCAUCACCUCGGCGUUCAACAUCAAAGUCUAAAUCCAGAAGAAAGCAGUCCAGAUCCAAAUCUCCAGUGAGGAAAAGAGAAUCAGUCUCUCCAUCAGAAAGGAAGAAGCGGCGGUCCAAAUCUCGGAGUCCUGGCAGACGACGGAGGUCAAGGUCACGUUCUGCCACAAGACGCAAGCGCUCACGGUCCAAAUCGCGAACCAGAGUUCGCCGGUCUAAGUCCCGUUCUCCAGCUCGCAAGAGACGAUCCCGUUCACGUUCCCCGAAUGCCAGAGGAAGGAGAAAGUCUACAGACAGGAGUAAGAGAUCCAAGAGCCGCUCCACAGGCAGGAGGAAAAGAUCCAGAUCAGGAGACAGAAGCAGGCGAUCAAGGUCCCGGUCUUCUGAUCGGAGACGCAGGUCAAGGUCGAGGGGUAGAGGGAGACGCCCGGUGUUUCGCAGUCGUUCAUUUGAUAGACGGGACAGGUGGAUGAGGGAACCUAGCCACUCUCCAGUUCUCAUCCUUCGUAAACAACGGCGCUCAGGGUCCCGGACACGACGCAGCACCAGCAAGACUCCUCCACGACUCACUGAACUGGAUAAGGAUCAGUUGCUUGAGAUAGCUAAGGCUAACGCUGCUGCCAUGUGUGCUAAAGCUGGGGUUCCCAUUCCUGAGAGUCUUCGGCCAAAAGCCAUUCUUCAGCUCCCUCUGCCCACACCAUCUCCAACCCCCAUCUCCUUACCUUUACCUCUACCUCUUCCAAUGGGCAUGGGGAUGCCGAAUAUGCCCAGUAUGGGUCCAAUGGGCUUACCCACUAUCCCGGGAAUGCCCAGCAUGUCAAAUAUCACCAUGAGUGCUGCGAUGGCAAGUAUGACGGCAGCUACUAUGACAGCUGCUUUGACCAACAUGGGUGCCCUGGCGGCCAUGCCCCCCCUUGCCCCACUCCCUACCAUUACUAACAAGCCUCCCCCGUGCCUGGCCCCUCCAACGCCAUCUCUCAACCUGGACCACAUUGAGGAGGCGAAGCGGAAGGUCACUCAGCAGGCUAACAUACAUACAAUCAAGGAGCUUACUGAGAAGUGUAAAAUGAUUGCAAAUAGCAAGGAGGAGAUGGCCAUUGCCAAACCCCAUGUCUCAGAUGAUGAAAACUAAAACCGCCAAGCCCUCACAGUAAACUACUCCCAUCAAUGCCUGAAGGAAAAGGUAAACUGUCCUUUACAGGUGGAUUUAUUUUCCUUUGUUGGCCAGAUGAUCUGUCUGGGUGGAAGAGCACCCUCAUUGUCACAGUUACAAUGUAGGAGCACUGGCAUCAGCCACUGCCCCACUCUGCUCCCCAGUUGUUCUGUGUGUGAGAGCGAGAGACUGGCAGACUUUCACCUGUGAUACCACUGAGAAAACUGAACACACACAGUGGUGUGAUUGUACAGUGAGUGUGAGUAUGUUUGUGUGUGUGUGUGUGUGUGUAUAUAGUGACAUUCACCUCCAACCCCUCAGUGUUGCUGCUUAUUCAAGCAGUCACUGUUGUGAAGACUGAAGAGGAAACAAACCAAACUAAUUAGUGGUGCAAAUGUUUUUGUAAAAGUUCUAAGUUCUAAAUUUGUUUUACCUUUAUGCUUUCUUAAAGCGUUACGUUAAGUAGAGACUGCUUCCUUGUUCUGCUGUAUUCCCAGGUUAUCUCUAUUCCCUGAUUUUAUAAAGAAAUGAUGCAGAUGAAGUUUAGAGACAGGUGAUCCUCAUGUGAAUCUCAAAGCAGGAUGCUAGACCAGAUUGUUUUGAAGGAAGGGUACAAUUAAAUAUACUGUAUCGGCUAGGUUUGAAUUCUAGCAAAAAAGAGAGUACAUCAAGUCACAGACCACAACUAAUUCAGUUAGUACCGCCCUGGGUGUGAGGUGUGUCCCUCUUUUUUUUCCUUUUUUUAUUUCUCCAAACUAACCUUUGACUAUGAUUUGUGUUGCUAUUUUUUUAUUUGUUUUUUUCUUUUUCCGAUUUGAAUAGACAAUUGAUCUCUAAGAGUUUUAACAUCAGUAUAAUAAGCAUGUUAUAUUUAAUUUAAGGUACACACGGAGCCUACUAUGAAUAUUUUCUUGGAAUUGUAAUGAGUACAUUUGAAAUAAUUUGUCAGGCAAGUUUUACAUUUGAAAGGAAAGCUGACUGAUGGCUGUCUUGUCCUGGAGGCUCGGACCUUGCUGACCACAUAGAGCUGUCUUAACAUAUUUUGGUCAAGUGGGGAAACAACCAGAUUUAUAGAUCACAACAAGGAUUGGCUGAAUUUUUUCCCCAGAUAAAAACUAAGUAAAUUGCACACACACACAUUUCCUCAAGAAUAAUGUAAAUAUUGGUAAAUGCUUGCUUAGAAGAUCUCCCUUCCACUGUGUGAAACAAAACUGUUUUUGAAUACACAUUAGACAGAGUUUUACAUCUGUUAGGUUGUUUAUAUUUUUAAAUCUUAAAUUUCACUCAUACUUCAUGUUAUUGUGCUGAAGGUUGGCAGAUGACUUGUAGUGCACCAUGUUCAACAGUUCAACUUAAAUUUGAGUUUAAGCUGUUUCGUUGUUCAAUGGUUUUUGUAUAUUACACAAUCAGGUCCUUUGUUUCUCAAUAAUCGCUUUCAGAAGAAUAUGUAGUAAUGUUCAAACAUGGAACACACAAGAAGCCCCAGUCACUUGAUUUACCAGUACUUUUAAGAGCAUGUACAAGUUCCCCUGGUCCUAAACAUGGUGAGCUAAAUGCAUUGGAUAACUGAAGAACAAAGACAACCUUGGUGCUUCUGUGCAAACUGUCAGGGAAGAGCUUUUUCUAGUAAAAAAAUGUCUUGCAUUCAUAAUACACAUUUUUUUCGGUGGAGGGAGGAAAUGCUUCCAAAUCCAUCCUGCUCUGCCAUCCUCCCAUGCCCAGGGCUGUUUAACUGGAAUAAAAUCUGUGAAGGUUUUGUGAAUCUGUGUGUA
ensembl:lncRNA serine/arginine repetitive matrix protein 2-like